rnacentral:rRNA from 1 species
CCUACGGGAGGCAGCAGUGGGGAAUCUUGGACAAUGGGCGCAAGCCUGAUCCAGCCAUGCCGCGUGAGUGAAGAAGGCCUUCGGGUUGUAAAGCUCUUUUGUCAGGGACGAUAAUGACGGUACCUGAAGAAUAAGCCCCGGCAAACUUCGUGCCAGCAGCCGCGGUAAUACGAAGGGGGCUAGCGUUGUUCGGAUUUACUGGGCGUAAAGCGUACGUAGGCGGAUUGUUAAGUGAGAGGUGAAAUCCCAGGGCUCAACCCUGGAACUGCCUUUCAUACUGGCAAUCUCGAGUUCGGAAGAGGUGAGUGGAAUUCCUAGUGUAGAGGUGAAAUUCGUAGAUAUUAGGAAGAACACCGGUGGCGAAGGCGGCUCACUGGUCCGAUACUGACGCUGAGGUACGAAAGCGUGGGGAGCAAACAGGAUUAGAUACCCUGGUAGUCCACGCCGUAAACUAUGGGUGCUAGCCGUUGGAAAGCUUGCUUUUCAGUGGCGCAGCUAACGCAUUAAGCACCCCGCCUGGGGAGUACGGUCGCAAGAUUAAAACUCAAAGUAUAUAGGCGNGNGAGUGCGACGAGGACCACACGGAGGUAGG